rnacentral:rRNA from 1 species
CUCCCUCGUUGCUGAUCUCAGGUUCGAUAAUGCCAAUAUCGCACCGCCUCGCCUAAAACCAACUUCGAUGAAGCGACGGGCGGUGUGUG